UUACGGCCACAUCGCGUUAAAACAACGGUUCCCGUAUAAUCACCGAAGUUAAGCAAAAUUGGUCCUGGUCAGUAACUUGAUGGGUGACCGCUUGGGUAAAGUUCG